rnacentral:rRNA from 1 species
AGGCCUAACACAUGCAAGUCGAGCGCCGUAGCAAUACGGAGCGGCAGACGGGAGAGUAACACGUGGGAACGUGCCCUUCAGUUCGGAACAACCCAGGGAAACUUGGGCUAAUACCGGAUACGUCCGUAAGGAGAAAGAUUUAUCGCUGAAGGAUCGGCCCGCGUCUGAUUAGCUAGUUGGUGGGGUAACGGCCCACCAAGGCGACGAUCAGUAGCUGGUCUGAGAGGAUGAUCAGCCUCACUGGGACUGAGACACGGCCCAG